rnacentral:rRNA from 1 species
UACGUAGGGUGCGAGCGUUAAUCGGAAUUACUGGGCGUAAAGCGUGCGCAGGCGGUUCGUUGUGUCGGUGGUGAAAGCCCCGGGCUUAACUUGGGAAUUGCGCUCGAAACUACUUUGCUGGAGUGUGGCAGAGGAAGGUGGAAUUCCACGUGUAGCGGUGAAAUGCGUAGAGAUGUGGAGGAACACCAGUGGCGAAGGCGACUCUUUGGUCUGUAACUGACGCUGAGGCGCGAAAGCGUGGGGAGCAAACAGG